rnacentral:rRNA from 1 species
CCUACGGGUGGCAGCAGUGAGGAAUAUUGGUCAAUGGGCGCUAGCCUGAACCAGCCAAGUAGCGUGAAGGAUGACUGCCCUAUGGGUUGUAAACUUCUUUUAUAUGGGAAUAAAGUGCAGUAUGUAUAAUGCUUUCCAUGUACCUUAUGAAUAAGGAUCGGCUAACUCCGUGCCAGCAGCCGAGGUAAUACGGAGGAUCCGAGCGUUAUCCGGAUUUAUUGGGUUUAAAGGGAGCGUAGGCGGGUUGUUAAGUCAGUUGUGAAAGUUUGCGGCUCAACCGUAAAAUUGCAGUUGAUACUGGCAGCCUUGAGUACAGUAGAGGUAGGCGGAAUUCGUGGUGUAGCGGGGAAAUGCGUAGAGAUCACGAGGAACACCGAUUGCGAAGGCAGCCUGCUGGAC